AAGACUCGUAUUCUCUCUGGAUCAAAUAGCAAAAUCCUAAAGUUAUAGAGCCGAACUUGCAUCUAAUCCGCCCAACUCAUCGUCAUCAUCACCCGUCGUCUUCACCAUCUCUAUGCACUUGCAACAAUUUUCCGGUGACCAACCCCUACCACGAUGCACAUUUGCCUCUCUUCUCUACUCUAACUUACUAUCCAACCCCGCCACCACUCAUCGUCACCAACAAUGCAAUUGCUGAUGCCCCCAUCUCAGCCACCAUCCGGUGGCUAAGCGUCGACGGUCACCCUGCUUGGACUGUGACAUCGGUGACCUGACUCAUUCAACCGACCCUAAAAGCCCUUUUUCUUCUAUGCUAAUAUAUAUCUAAGGUAAAUCACAAUAUAUGCUUUUUUUUUGCAAGAUUUCUCUUGGUUUGUUGUGUAAACAUAACGAUUCUCAACAAUUCUGACUUUUUAAAUUGAUAGGUUCGUCUUGGUUGUAGGUGAUCAACCCAUACUUGGUAAUAUGCUUCCCUUUUUAGAGAAAUUUUUAAUCUUUUAGGGCAUUUUUUUAAUCUUGGUUGCAGGUGUUCAGCUCCUAGCACAAAAGUUUGUUUUGAGGUAUUGCAAUAAGUUUAAGAUACAUAAAGUGGUCGGUGGUUAUAGAAAAUAGGCUUUAUGUUUUGGUACUAUUUGAGGCGAAUCUAAUUCUUAUAUUAUCAUUUUUUUCAGUAUUAAAAGUCUGCUCAUUGUUCAAAUACCUUGAAAUUUUCUUCAAAAAUCUAUUAAUCAUAUGUUGUUCUUUCAAUAAGCCUAUUUCUUAUUUUGUUAUUCCUUCUUUGCAGGUUAUUUGGUUAUGGUUUUGGACUGAUGGAAUUAGAUAAAAUGAUAGAGCCAGCUUAAAGCAGAGUUUUUCAGGUGCUCUCCAGAAACCCUGGUCCUCACAACAAUAAUUGAAGAAAUUAAGGGAAAAGGAACCUAUUUAGUAAAAAAAGAAAAUCUUCCAAAAGGUAAGCCUUGCUUUGUUUAGACUUCGAUAUGAUGCUUCAUUUUAGUGUUCUUUUUCUAUUAUUUUUGUUUUCCUCCACUAACUUAUAAGAUACAAAGAGGAAGCAUUGGAUUUCCCUUUUGAUAUAACUCAAUUGUUUUUAUAAUUUUACUGUAACUCAUUAAAAUAAGUUCAAAAUAUGUUCCAGGUUUACUAAAUGUUUUCGGAUUUUGAUUUUUGAACAUAGGGUCUACCGCAAGAGAAAAAUAGGAACAAGGGUGGUUCAGUGAGAUGGUGCAUUUUCUGUUAACAUGUAACAUCCCCUCCCCCAAUACACACACAUAUAUUUUUUAGACAUAAAAAGGACCAUAUCAUUUAUUGUAUGAAAAUGCCAAUAGUAAGAUCACUAUGCAGGGCCGGUACUAAGGUGUAACAUACACGUUCAGUUUUCGUGUUAUGUAAUUUUAAAAGUGAAAAAUAUAAUGAAAAAUUAUAUGAAGUUGAACAUUGAGUUCUAACAGAUAGUUUUUACUAGAAAUGAAGUAAACUAUGUUUAGAAUCACUUGGAAAAUACUGAAAGUCUUAUGAGAUUCCAAUCUAAUGUCAAAUAUUGAAAUUUAACGAAAAAAUUAAAGUUGAAAAUAAGUAAAAAUUAUAAUACUGAAAGUUGUAAAGAAUCUCAUUAGAAACAUUUAGGCGAAAACCUCAUCGAAAUCCGAGUUAUAACAAAGAAGUUAUGACCAAUCGAAGAUUCGCGACAGAACCGACACAACGUUGUAUGACGUAAAAAGUGAGUUUUUGAUAUACUACUUUUUAGCUUUAGUGAUCUAAACGAAAGUCGUAGUAUUCAUUAAACCGAGAAUUUUCAUAAAAAGAACAUCCAAAUCUAACUUUGUAUAAGGAAGUUAUGAUUUUUCUAAGUUUCAAAAUAGUAGUAGACAACUAAAAACUCGAAAUAAAGAUCGGGUGAUUUUUAGCCGAUGCAACCUAAACGAGAAUCGAAAGUCUCGACAAUAGUAGUACAACGGUAAAAAGACAGACGAAAACAGACGUCGGAUGAAGAAAUUAUGAAUUUUUAACGGACUUUUCCUAUCCCGGCUCGUUAAAAAUAUAAUAUUAAAAAUAAAGUCAAAAUUAGCCUAUGGAGUCUAAACGAAAGUUGUAAAUCAUAAUCUCACCUACGCGUGAACAUAAAGAACGUCAAAAACGGAGCUCGUAUGCAAAAGAUACGAAUUUUUGAAGUUUGGAAUUUCGGAGUACGCCCAACAUACUCGUUUUCACGGUCCAAGAUUGACCACGUCGCCCAAACUCUCGCAUACGACACGUAUCAUGCAGGUUCGACACAUCUGAUGCCACACAUCAGGGUAUGCCCAGCGUAUAGAGCCGCAUUCUGUACGCCCCGCGUACUGGAAUUACGCCCAGUGUACGGAGGGUUUUCAGCCACUAUAAAUAGAAACCGAAGGCUUCCGAAUUUGGUUUACAAUUUCACUCUGUCUCACCCUUUUACUCUCUCUCAAACUCUCCUAACACCAUCCGAAGUCCCGGUAUCAUUCCCGACACCUGAAGCAAGUCCUGACGCCCCGAAGAGCCGAGAAAAUAAUAUUUUCAAGUUGAAACUGUUCCAUGGCAAGGCCUGGUUUUCAACUAAAAUCCCCGGUUUUGUCACAGAAAGUCAUAUAAAAGUCAAAGUGCUACCCAAAUUAAUACUUUAAUCCCCGGUUAUUUCACGGCGAAUUCAAUAUAUAAUAACAAUUGUAUGUUAUGUGUUAUAUGUGUUAUGUGCUUUUCCAUGUUAUCAUCUUGUGUUAUUAUUUCUGCUAUUUUGAUAGCAAAGUUGUACCUUUGGCCAUGUGAUCAGUGAAAGAACUUAGAUUCACAAUGAUAUUGGUAUGUAGCCUCUGGCCGUGUAGAGCACGUCUCGUAAGAGAAUGAAUUCUACCGCUAUGACAUUGGCAUAAGGUUAGAUAUGGCUGAAAGCCUGAUGUUAUUGAUGUUUAUCAAGUAUCGAAAUUGUUAUGUCUCAUUGAUUGUUAUGGAAAGCCUGUCGCAUGAUUCACAUAUGAUUUUGUUGUUCCUUGUUCCCUUUUGUUUCUGCCAUAUUAAAGUAUAUAUAUGGCAUAAUGUUAUAUUGUAUCUAUUAUUGAACUCACUAAGCAUCACUGCUUACCCCUCUCAGUGUUUAACAAUUGCAGGUAAUGAAAAUCCAUUAUAGUCAUAUAUUAUUGGAAGAUUUAGAAUAGUUUAUACUAUUAUUUUUGUACUUGGGUUUACGUUUGUAUAAAAGCUUAAAUAUCUUGGGUAGUUAUGUAAUAUACUAAAACUCAG
rnacentral:lncRNA from 1 species